rnacentral:lncRNA from 1 species
AGGUACAAGCUAAAGAAAAAUGUGGAGAAACUUGAAAAAGCAGUACAAGAAUCAAAGUGUUCCACGAAUACCCCGCAUUCAAGUCCCCGCAGCGGCUGCUGACAUUUCGUUACUGAAGGACCUAAAUCAAGGCCAACAGCGUUACUUGUACAGCAUCAUGAGGAUUUAUGACUCCAGGCCCCAGUGGAAGGCCCUGCAGACCCGCUACAUUCACAGCCUUGGAUACCAACAGCAUCUGGGUUAUAUCACUCAACAGGAAGCCUUGUCUUGUGCUGCUGUACUUAGACAUUCAACCAUGCAAGCCUCAGCUAUGGUCGCUCCUCAAAGGACUAUUCUCCCCAAAGUCUUCAGCCGUGCAAAGAAUGUGUCAACCAGCAAAACCAGGGCUUAGAGUUGGAUCCAGAACCUCCAGAACAUCAUGCUGCAUAUCAAGACCCUAGACAAUGUGUAGUCUCUGAAGUGGGCAGUUCAGCUCCAUAUCCUUGGAAUUUUUGUGGUUCCGUGGUAUGCAUUUGUUGAGUGACAAUGAAUAAAAGAAUACUAAUGAAAACUCU